UACAGAGGUCUCAAGCGUUGUUCGGAUUCAUUGGGCGUGAAGGGUGUGUAGGUGGCGCCGUAAGUCGGGUGUGAAAUUUCGGAGCUUAACUCCGAAACUGCAUUCGAUACUGCGGUGCUUGAGGACUGGAGAGGAGACUGGAAUUCAUGGUGUAGCAGUGAAAUACGUAGAUAUCAGGAGGAAUACCGAUGGCGAAGGCAGGUCUCUGGGCUGACACUGACGCUCAUGCACGAAAGCGUGGGGAGCAAACAGG
rnacentral:rRNA from 1 species